CACUCAAUUGGAAAGAGGAGUGGCGGACGGGUGAGUAACACGUGGGUAACCUACCCAUCAGAGGGGGAUAACACUUGGAAACAGGUGCUAAUACCGCAUAACAGUUUAUGCCGCAUGGCAUAAGAGUGAAAGGCGCUUUCGGGUGUCGCUGAUGGAUGGACCCGCGGUGCAUUAGCUAGUUGGUGAGGUAACGGCUCACCAAGGCCACGAUGUAUAGCCGACCUGAGAGGGUGAUCGGCCACACUGGGACUGAGACACGGCCCAGACUCCUACGGGAGGCAGCAGUAGGGAAUCUUCGGCAAUGGACGAAAGUCUGACCGAGCAACGCCGCGUGAGUGAAGAAGGUUUUCGGAUCGUAAAACUCUGUUGUUAGAGAAGAACAAGGACGUUAGUAACUGAACGUCCCCUGACGGUAUCUAACCAGAAAGCCACGGCUAACUACGUGCCAGCAGCCGCGGUAAUACGUAGGUGGCAAGCGUUGUCCGGAUUUAUUGGGCGUAAAGCGAGCGCAGGCGGUUUCUUAAGUCUGAUGUGAAAGCCCCCGGCUCAACCGGGGAGGGUCAUUGGAAACUGGGAGACUUGAGUGCAGAAGAGGAGAGUGGAAUUCCAUGUGUAGCGGUGAAAUGCGUAGAUAUAUGGAGGAACACCAGUGGCGAAGGCGGCUCUCUGGUCUGUAACUGACGCU
rnacentral:rRNA from 1 species